CUACGGGAGGCAGCAGUGAGGAAUAUUGGACAAUGGGCGCAAGCCUGAUCCAGCCAUGCCGCGUGCAGGAAGACGGUCCUAUGGAUUGUAAACUGCUUUUGUACGGGAAGAAACACUCCUACGUGUAGGAGCUUGACGGUACCGUAAGAAUAAGGAUCGGCUAACUCCGUGCCAGCAGCCGCGGUAAUACGGAGGAUCCAAGCGUUAUCCGGAAUCAUUGGGUUUAAAGGGUCCGUAGGCGGUUUAGUAAGUCAGUGGUGAAAGCCCAUCGCUCAACGAUGGAACGGCCAUUGAUACUGCUAGACUUGAAUUACUAGGAAGUAACUAGAAUAUGUAGUGUAGCGGUGAAAUGCUUAGAUAUUACAUGGAAUACCAAUUGCGAAGGCAGGUUACUACUAGUGGAUUGACGCUGAUGGACGAAAGCGUGGGGAGCGAACAGGAUUAGAUACCCCGGU
rnacentral:rRNA from 1 species